AACGAACGCUGGCGGCAGGCUUAACACAUGCAAGUCGAACGCAUCCUUCGGGGUGAGUGGCAGACGGGUGAGUAACGCGUGGGAACGUGCCCUUCAGUUCGGGAUAACCCAGGGAAACUUGGGCUAAUACCGGAUACGUGCGAGAGCAGAAAGAUUUAUCGCUGAAGGAUCGCCCCGCGUCUGAUUAGCUAGUUGGUGGGGUAAUGGCCCACCAAGGCGACGAUCAGUAGCUGGUCUGAGGGGAUGAUCAGCCACAUUGGGACUGAGACACGGCCCAAACUCCUACGGGAGGCAGCAGUGGGGAAUAUUGGACAAUGGGCGCAAGCCUGAUCCAGCCAUGCCGCGUGAGUGAUGAAGGCCUUAGGGUUGUAAAGCUCUUUCGUCCGGGACGAUAAUGACGGUACCGGAAGAAGAAGCCCCGGCUAACUUCGUGCCAGCCGCCGCGGUAA
rnacentral:rRNA from 1 species